CCUACGGGUGGCAGCAGUGGGGAAUAUUGCACAAUGGGGGAAACCCUGAUGCAGCGACGCCGCAUGAGUGAAGAAGUAAUUCGUUACGUAAAGCUCUAUCAGCAGGGAAGAAACACUGACCUUACGGUCAGCAAACGGUACCUGAGUAAGAAGCCCCGGCUAACUACGUGCCAGCAGCCGCGGUAAUACGUAGGGGGCAAGCGUUAUCCGGAUUUACUGGGUGUAAAGGGAGAGUAGGUGGCAGAGCAAGUCCGAAGUGAAAACCCAAAGCUCAACUAUGGGAAUGCUUUAGAAACUGCUCAGCUAGAGUGCAGGAGAGGCAAGUGGAAUUCUUAGUGUAGCGGUGAAAUGCGUAGAUAUUAGGAGGAACACCAGUGGCGAAGGCGGCUUGCUGGACUGUAACUGACACUGAGGCUCGAAAGCGUGGGGAGCAAACAGGAUUAGAUACCCGGGUAGUC
rnacentral:rRNA from 1 species